CACGUAGGGUGCGAGCGUUGUCCGGAAUUAUUGGGCGUAAAGAGCUCGUAGGCGGUCUGUCGCGUCGGAUGUGAAAAUCCGGGGCUCAACCCUGGACCUGCAUUCGAUACGGGAAGACUAGAGUUCGGCAGGGGAGACUGGAAUUCCUGGUGUAGCGGUGAAAUGCGCAGAUAUCAGGAGGAACACCGGUGGCGAAGGCGGGUCUCUGGGCCGAUACUGACGCUGAGGAGCGAAAGCGUGGGGAGCGAACAGG
rnacentral:rRNA from 1 species